AUGCUCACGGACCCUUCAUGACUGCCCACAUCUCAGAGCUGUGGACAGUCAUGAAGGGUCCGUGAGCAUGGAGAGGGGGCAAAAAUGACCCAUGAACCUCAGGCCACUGUGCUGCCAUCCAGCCAAGUGCGGUACCAGCCCUUCGGGCCUCGAGAUCCUCUACCCUUCUCUGGGCCUUGCUGAUUUCCUCCUCCAGCCCCUCUGUUUGUGUACGCACAUACACACAUGCACGCACGCACACGCACACCCAGUGCAAUUUCUCUCUGCUCCCUGUACUCCCCAAAAUUCAAUGGGUUCCUCUUUCCUCCUCAGAGAUAUAGUCCUGGGCCCCAUCUCAGCCUGCAGAGGCCUGAACGUUUCCCAGGAUUGUCUUCUAAUUCUCAGGUCCGGCUUUAAAACAAAACCUAAACUAAAACUAAAAUGCUUUCUGCAAAGAAUAAUACACCAACAUAAAGUCCGGGUAUCCUAAGCAUGUGGUGUGUAUGGUGUCUGAAAUUGAAUAUGCUGUGAAACUGCCUGUGUCGAAAUGCAGUGUUUCCCAAGACCUGGAGGCUCUCUCCAGCUGCUGAUUGUGAUCACCUCUCCCGAUCACCGCUGAGCCCUGCAGGUCACCUUCUCCUGACCUAUUACACCACUGAUUGCUUAUGCUGGGCACAAUUUUAUACCCUUGCUGUUGUUCAGUCUAAUCAUCCCUAUAACCCUAUCGGAUCAUUCCCAUAUGACAGAGGAGAAAACCUGGGGACACAGGGGCUGUGUCCUGGCCAAGGCCUUGCUUGCAGCAAAAGGCAGAGCUGGGGUCUAGCCAGGAGCCCCAGCACAGUCCUGUUCUUCCCCCACUAAACUGAGCUGUGAAAUAGAUCAUGGCGGUCUGGAAAACGAGCUAAUUCCGUGCCGAUGGAGGUGUUGAUGGAUGUCCACCACUCUCCACUUGGGAGGAGGCCUUAACAUCCCCCUCAGGUCUAGCUUCUCUCUGUGACUGAGUACCUUGGGAAAGUGGGCUCAGAGGAGGAAAGGGACUUACUUGCCCAAGGGCCACAGCUGCCAAGUGGCAGGUAAGGGACCGUUAUUCUCCUGUCCCUUUCACAGAGGACAGGAGGAAAGUGAGGACAGGUGGGGUACAUGAGUUUAGCCUCUUUUCUGCAGCAGGCCCAGAUCAGCUUUGCACACGGUUGGUGCUGACCUCAAAUGCAGCCCUAGAGGGGCCUAUCUCUGCCCUGAGUAUUGAGGUGCAGGCUUCUUCCCCUUUGUUCUGUCCAUUUCCAAAAAUGUGAACACACACCUCCUACAUGUUUAUAUUAUUGUGUGCAUAGAUACUACCAUUGUAACAUUUUUUGCGGAUUAAAAAUGCACUAUUGUAUUGAAAAUUUCAAAGGAAAUGUGUAAUAAAACAUUUAAAAUUAAUAUUUGUGUUUUUAUUGUCAAUGGAUAUAAUCAAAUUCUCUGUAAAAUAUUAUGAUUUAAAAAGUAAUAUGAGCCAGGCGUGGUGCCUCACACCUGUAAUCCCAACACUUUGGGAGGUGGAGGCGUUUGGAUCACCUGAGGUCAGGAGCUCAAGACCAGCCUGGUCAAUGUGGUGAAACCCCCGUCUCUACUAAAAAUACAAAAAAAUUAGCCAGGCCUGAUGGCAGGUUUCUGUAAUCCCAACUACUCAGGCAGCUGAGGUAGGAGAAACGCUUGAACCCAGAAGGCAGAGGUUGUGGUGCGCCGAGAUUGUGCCAUUGCACUCUAGCCUAGGCAACAAGAGUGAAAUUCCGUCUCCAAACACACAUAUACACACACACACAUACAAACAAAAAAUAAAAGGUAAUAUGGAGAUUAAUAAUGUUUCCUUGACAGGAAUGAUGGCGAAUGCUUCAGUUUUCCUCUAGGCAUUUAAUUUUUGAAUUUCCGCCUUGGGUAAGAUAUUCUUGGAAUAAAGUGUGUGCACACUGGAAAAUGGGCUGAUUUUUUCUAAAACUAAUAUGACUAUACCCACACAAAAGUGAUUUUAUUUUGAAUUUAAAAGAUAAAACAAGAAGUAUGUCCUGCUCUAGAGAACUGUGUCAGGUGCUUUCACCGGCUGUAAAGGCAGUUCCUUCCCUCCUUCACCUGAGGAUCCUUCCUCGGCCUCCUCAAAUCUGAGUCUGCAUCAUCAGAACCACCUGGGGGGCUCGUGGAAACACGGAUCACAUGGCCCUCCCCAAGGGUUUCUGAGCGAGCAGGUCUGAUGGAGCUGAGUAGUUGCUUUUUCUUUUCUUUUCUUUUCUUUUUUUUUUUUUUUUGAGAUAGAGUCUCGCUCUUGCUUUUGUCGCCAGGCUAGAAAGUGGUGCAAUCUCGGCUCACUGCAACCUCUGCCUCCUGGGUUCAAGUGAUUCUCCUGCCUCAGCCUCCCAAGUAGCUGGGAUUACAGGCACCCGUCACCAGGCCCAGCUAAUUUUUUUUUUUUUUGUAUUUUUAGUAAAGACGGGGUAUCACCAUGUUGGCCAGUCUGGCCUCGAACUCCGGACCUCAGGUGAUCUGCCUGCCUCAGCCUCCCAAAGUGGAGUAGUUGCAUUUUAACCAAUUCCAGGCAAUGCUGAUGCUGUAGGUGCUGUAUCCACACAUGUGAGCCGCUCGCCCACUUCGUAGAACUGGAAAGCCAGGUGGGGCACCAUGGUUCAUGCCUGUAAUCCCAGCACUUUGGGAGGCUGAGGCAGGAAGAUCCCUUUAGACCAGGAGUUCAACACUAGCCUGGGCAACAUAGCAAGACCUCAUUUCUACACAAUAAUUUUUAAAAUUAGGCAGGUAUGGUGGCGUGUGCCUGUCUAGCUAUUCAGGAAGGAGGCUGAGGUGGGAGGAUCACUUGAGACCAGGAGGUCAAGGCUACGACGAGCUAUGAUUGUGCCACUACACUCCAGCCUGAAGGACAGAACAAGACCAUUAAAAAAAGCAAAAGCUAAAGGCAUAAUUUUCUUGGGGUUCCUCAUCUCAUGUGUUCCUUUUAAGACCUGGAAGAAGGAAGCAUCUUACGUAGGAGAUGUUUGCCAAGAACAGUUUGUUGUUGUUUACUCACUGCACAGUGGCACAGAUAAGAUGGCCUUUUUUCUACUUACAGAAGCUGUAUGUAGAGGCUAUUUUAAGACAACAACAAACCCAGACGCUCCCCUAUCAAUUUAAAGACCAUUUUUAAGGACUUUUAAGGAAAAUAGUCAAAAGCUUUUUUUUUUCUAGAAGAGUUUC
rnacentral:lncRNA from 10 species